rnacentral:rRNA from 1 species
UGCGUAUUAUUUUAUUUUUGUUUUAUUUAUUUUUGGUUUUGUUAGUAAAUUAUUAUUUUGUUGUUGUACUGUUAUUGAUCUCAUUAUUUUUAUUAUAGUUUAUUUGUACCGUGAGGGGUUAAUUAUUUUGUUUUUGUAAGUUUUCUUUAUUUGUUGUACCUUGUGUAUCAGGGUUUAUUAACUUUUAUUAUUUAUUUUUAUCUCUCGAUUUUGGAGGAGUUAAUGGUUUAUUUUAGUUGUUGUUUUAUUAUCAUUAAAAAUAUUCUGUUGGUAGUGAUAUGCUAUUCGUCUUUGGUGAUAUCUGGUUUCUUGAGAAAUUAAUUUAAUUUACACUUUUUGUUUAACUUUCUAUUUUUUUGUUGAAUUUUACUUGUUGUGAGGGUGCUGGGGGAUAAGCUUCGGUUCUUAUUUUUAUAAUGUUUAUUAUGUUGAGAAUUUUUAUGGGCUUUGUAUUGGCUAAUUAUUUGAUUAUGUUAAAAUUUUACUUCUAUUUUUGUUAAUUUAUUUUUCAUUUAAUUUUUUAUUGGGAUGUUUAAUUUAAUUUUUAUUUUGUUGCAAUUAUGAUGUAAUUAGUAUAUACUUAUUUUAUGUUUAUAUUUUUUUGUUAAUUCCUUUAGAGGAACUAGGCAAACUUGAAUGCCCGCUUGUUUAACAAAAACAUCGCUUCUUGUGUAUUUAUUUGAGGUACAGCCUGCCCACUGAUUUUUGAAGGGCCGCGGUAUCUUGACCGUGCAAAGGUAGCAUAAUCAUUAGUUCUUUAAUUGUGGACUUGUAUGAAUGGUUUGACGAGGUAUUAACUGUCUUUAUUUGGAUUUAUUAAUUGAAUUUGGGGUUUGGGUAAAAAUACCUAAAUUUUUUUAUGGGACGAGAAGACCCUAUAGAGUUUUAUAUAGUUUUUCCUUUUUCUGUUUGUUAAUUUAUUAUUUGGUUUUAUCUAUAUUUUGUUGGGGCGAUGGGAGGAUAAUUUUAACUCUUCCUUGUUUAUUAUACACUUUUUGUGUUGUUUAUGAUCCUUUAUUAUUGAUUAUAAGAUUAAAUUACCUUAGGGAUAACAGCGUAAUCUCUUUUGAGAGUUCUUAUUGACAAGGAGGAUUGCGACCUCGAUGUUGGAUUAAGAUGAAUUUUUGGUGUAGGGGCUAUAUUUUCCAUUGGGUCUGUUCGACCCUUAAAAUCUUACAUGAUCUGAGUUCAGACCGGCGUGAGCCAGGUCGGUUUCUAUCUAUAAUUUCUUUUGAUUUCUUAGUACGAGAGGACCAGAUAUCUUGAAUAAUUUUAUUGUUUGUGAAUUUUAUUAAUUU